UACAGAGGGUGCGAGCGUUGUCCGGAAUCACUGGGCGUAAAGGGCGCGUAGGCGGCUUGAUAAGGUUGCGGUGAAAGCCCGGGGCUCAACCCCGGGUCGGCCGUGGCAACUGUCGAGCUGGAGCACUGUAGAGGCAGGUGGAAUUCCGCGUGUAGCAGUGAAAUGCGUAGAUAUGCGGAGGAACACCGAUGGCGAAGGCAAUCCCCUGGGCCUGCACUGACGCUCAUGCACGAAAGCGUGGGGAGCAAACAGG
rnacentral:rRNA from 1 species